rnacentral:lncRNA from 1 species
CAAAGAGUCAUGCCGAAUCACCACCAAUGAUAGAAUUGGCAGUAUUAUAAAGCUGUCAGAGAAACAGUGUUUCAGGUCGCUUUUCCAUCCAGAAUUGUUACAAAAGGUUGAAGUCUUAGAGAAGUUUGGAACCUGAAUAUCAAACAGAAAGGUUCAACUUGGAUCAGUUGUAAUAUUUUGUAGAGAGUCCAAUGGCACGUAAUAAUUAACAUGAGCAGAAUGCAGGAAGAACAGAAAGCAGGGGAGCUGGGAACAGAC